UGUAUUGUGUAAUGGUUGGAUGUGCCGUAUAUGAUGAUGUGCUGUGUAGUGGUUGGAUGUGUUGUAUAUGAUGCUGUGUUGUGUAGAGGUUGGAUGUGUUGUAUAUGAUGCUGUGUUGUGUAGAGGUUGGAUGUGUUGUAUAUGAUGCUGUGUUGUGUAGUGGUUGGAUGUGUUGUAUAUGAUGCUGUGUUGUGUAGAGGUUAGAUGUGUUGUAUAUGAUGCUGUGUUGUGUAGAGGUUGGAUGUGUUGUAUAUGAUGCUGUGUUGUGUAGAGGUUGGAUGUAUUGUGUAAUGGUUGGAUGUGCCGUAUAUGAUGAUGUGCUGUGUAGUGGUUGGAUGUGUUGUAUAUGAUGCUGUGUUGUGUAGAGGUUGGAUGUGUUGUAUAUGAUGCUGUGUUGUGUAGAGGUUGGAUGUGUUGUAUAUGAUGCUGUGUUGUGUAGUGGUUGGAUGUGUUGUAUAUGAUGCUGUGUUGUGUAGAGGUUGGAUGUGCUGUAUAUGAUGCUGUGUUGUGUAGAGGUUGGAUGUGCUGUAUAUGAUGCUGUGUUGUGUAGAGGUUGGAUGUAUUGUGUAGAGGUUGGAUGUGCUGUAUAUGAUGCUGUGUUGUGUAGUGGUUGGAUGUGCUGUAUAUAAUGCUGUGUUGUGUAGAGGUUGGAUAUAUUGUGUAAUGGUUGGAUGUGCUGUAUAUGAUGAUGUGUUAUGUCAAGGAUGGGUCGUAUAGUGAUUUCUUCACAUAGAAAGGGGUCGGUAACUACACAUAUUUGACAGCAUUAGGUGGACACCAUGAUUUUGAUGUUAUUUUACAUGUAUUUUAUUUUAAAAUGAACAUUUAUGUGAUACAUAAAAUUUAAAUGAUGCAAGUAUUAUUUUAUAUUGAAAAUAAAAUGCAAACAAGAUAUUCAGAUGUACCAUUUA